GAGGGUAUAGCUCAGGGUUAGCGUGAAUGCUUAGCAUGCAUGAGGUUCUGAGUUCAAUCUCCAGUACCUCCA
rnacentral:tRNA from 1 species